AGCUUCCAACUUUCAGCUAAUGCAUGGUAGGCAUUUCUAGUCCCGUUUUUAAUUAUUUUUAUAUUUCGGGAUCGUUGUUGCUUAAUCUAUCUAAUGAGGGGACUAUUUUGCAAAACCAUUGAAUAGUUUGAUAUUUUCCAUUGAUGAGUAUAAUAGGGCUUUGAAGUUUAAUGGAAGAAUAUGAGUCCUUGUUGAUAGUUAAACACUUUUUGUUAAGUGAAUUUUUGUGAAAUUGAAAUUAAGGGCUAAAUUGAUAAAUGUGAAAACUUUGUGGUUAAAAUGUCAAAUAAAUGAAAUGUGUGGGCUGCUAGAGACACUAGUGAUAUUCGUCUAUAGUAGAAUUUUACUCAAUUUCAUGAAUUUGCAUUUUUAUGAUAUAGGGACUAAAUUGUAAAGAAGUUGAAAUAUUAGGGGCAAAACUAUAAUUUUUCCAUAAAGUGAAUUAUGGACUGUUUUGAUACCAUGAACAUUUGGCUAAGCUUAAUUAUGGUUAAAAAUGGUUAAUUUGCAUGUUUUGAGCUCAGGGACUAAAAUGAAUAAAAGUAAAACUUUAGGGGUAAUUUUGUAAAAAUGACAAAAAUGACCAAAUUGUAUGAAAUGAGGUGUUUUAAUGUAUAAAUUAAUAUACUGAAUGAAAUUAAUAAUUUAGAUCAAGAUCGGGUGGAAAAUCGAGAAAAAUAAAAAAAUUACCAAAAUACCCCUGAACUUUGGUAUCUCUACAAUUUAGCCAGGUAAGUUCGUAUGCAAUAAGCAUUGUUAAAUUGAUGUUUCUAAUGCUUUAAUAUUGUAUAGACUGUAUAUACGUGAAUAUUUUAAUGUCUGACGACAUAUCAACAAAAUGUGGCACUUAGUGUACGGGGCAAUCAAAUAUGGUACUCAGUGUACGAAAUAUUGAGAAUAGCACUUAGCGUGCGAGAUAUUGAGAAUGACACUUAGUGUGCAAAAUAUCGAAUGAUCCAAAGGGAAAUUAUAAAUUGUGAUUGAAUGAUUAAAUAGAGCAAAGUGAACAGGUAUACAUGCUAUAUUAUAUGAAUUGUUUAUGAGACGACUUUAUAAUGGUGAUAUUUGGGCUUUGAGCCUAGCAAGCUUUAAGCUGGUGAAUAAUAUUAUCGGGUUUAAAACCUAGCAGGCUAAAUGCCAGUGAUUUGAUAAAAGUCUAAGACUAUGAGACCUUCUGUUAAAUCAGCAAUUGAAUUUGUUCAAUACAUUAAGUUGGCCAGGUAUGUGAUAUAUACUUAUGCAUGUUAGAUCGAUUGGAAUUGAAUCAUGAGUGUGAAAUGAGAAGCAUAGGUGAAAAUGCCUAUGUCAUAUAUGUGAGUAAGGGCAAAACCAUCGUAAAUUAUCGAUAAGGGUGGAUUAUGUGCGGAAUCAUCUUAUAAUUGCUAAUUUGAACUGUUGUGUGCGAAUCAUUGAGCAUGAUGUAUUGUAUUGAGAUUAUGCUUGAGUGAAAUUAUAGAUAUGUGAUGAAAUUGAUUGGUGAUAUACAUGUUUAAAUAAUGUGAAUGCAAAGAAUGUGUGAAAGAGUAAAUUUGUAAUAAAUCUGCUUGGGACAACAGCAGUAACGUGAUUUUGGAAAAUCACCAUAAAUUGUUGGAGUUGAGUUAGAAGUUGAAUAAAUGAUGUAAUUAAAUCUUAUUGGGUCUAGUUUCUUAUAAAAGAAACCAUGUAAGCAAAAGAAUUUCUGAGAAUGAGAUAUUUGAAGUGGCGUGGGAUAGAGUCAAAUGACUUCGGGGUCCCCUAUUCUGUUUUUAUAAAAUCAUUAUAAUUUGUACAAAAAUGGUUAUAAGAUAAAAUUUAUAUGAUUAGACUCCUUAAUGAGUCUAGUUUCAAAUGAAAUCAAAUAGAACAUAUUUUGAAUUCUUUACAAUGAGAAAUUUGAUUCGUAGUGAAGAGUGGUCAAAUUAGUCAAACAGUGAAAUAGGGGAAACUUUAAGAAAAAUAUGGUAUUGAUUAGCCAAACCUAAAAUUCUGAACAUUUUAUGGAUGGAAGAUAUAUGAGUCUACUUUCAUGGAAAAUUAAUGGUAAUUGAUUUGGUGUUUUGUAGCUCCAGUUAUAAAUAAUGUAGUGACUAUUGCUCAGGAAGACAACUUGUAGUGAAUUUGUGAUUAUGUUGUAAACAUUGAUAAAACUUGUUAAUGAGUUGCUUAUUGUUUUCUUAUGAACUUACUAAGUGUAAAGCUUACUCCCCUUUUCUUUCCCAUAUUCCCUAGGGUUGCCAGGUUAGCUCGGGUUGGAGGCCGUCAGAGAUAUUAUCACAUUGUCAAGUCUACACUAUCGGCGUAAGUAAAUCUUAGUGUUUCGAGUCUAUGGCAUGUAUAGGGUUGUAAAGUUGAGUAAGUAAAUGAUACAAGACUAAGAUAUUGGUAAAUAUUUAAUAAUGCCUCAUGAAUAUUUUGGGCCUUGUAAGCCCGAUUA
rnacentral:lncRNA from 1 species